UUUAUAAUAUAAUAAGGGUCCAUAUAUCACAGUGAAAAAAGACAUACAUGUAUUUUUACUUUAACAUGAACUAAUGCUGAGUUACAGCAUAUCCUAAUAAUAAACUAUUGAAGAGUCAUCAUUAACUACGACAUGUUUUUCAUUGUUAGUUAAUGCAGUCAUUUACAAUAAAUUAAUUUGAGUUAAUGUUGUAGUUAAGUAAGUUCAGUAAGUUACAUGUCUUAACUCAGCAUUAGUUUAUAUUUACUAAUAUUUAAGUAAGAAUUCAUUUAGGUAUACGUUCAAUGUUUCCAAUGAUGAGCCACUCAUCCACUAAGCCCAGAGAUAAUUCCUGAGGCAUGUUUAAAGAGUUUUGUAUUUCAUCAAGAAGGUGCUGCUGAUUCACAAAGAUUUUAUAUUUAAGAAAAUCUGAGCAUCAUUCCAAAUAACUGUUAACAUGUUUGUCAACUAAACAUGUUUUGUAAACGUAAUAAACUUUAUAAAAAUAUUUUUUAUUUUUUAUUAAUAAUCAAGUAUAAAGAACAAUGCAUAGUGUGAAAACGCGGAUUAUAAAAAGUAUAUUAAAGAAAAGGACUACAUUUCCCAGAAUGCACCUGCACCUACUCAUCUGCCCCCACCCUUCAGGUGCGACUGCUCAACCUAUGGGCUUGACGGGAAAAUUCAAAAUCGCGAACCGUUACUGCCUGGACUACUCCGUCUCUUAUUUGUUUGUUUGCUCAUCAACAGUAAGAGGUCAUGUACACUGUGGUCAACUUUGUGGACGAUGAAGAGGUUUCUGGGUAAAGCUGAUAGAAAUAUAAUGAAGUAACAGUGAAAGCUAAAACAUCAGACUGAUCCAGACACUGAAGAAAUUGAUAUCACUGCAAUCUGGCCAAAAUGAUACAACUAUAUUGAAGUAGCCUACUGUAAUGAAGCUGCAGAACAACACAGAGACUCUGAGGACAUCAACACAGAAAAUGAAGGCUCCAAAGAGAUGUCUGUCCAGAUGAGGGUGCAUCAACGUUACCUUUGCUGACAAGUAUAGGUUUUACAUUGUAAAGCAUAACAGUUAAC